AGCUCCAAUAGCGUAUAUUAAUGUUGUUGCAGUUAAAAAGCUCGUAGUUGGAUUUCUGGCGGGAGCGGCCUGUCCGACCCUCACGGGUCGUGUACGGUGUCGUCUCUGGCCAUCCUCUCGGAGAGCGGCCCGCGCAUUAAGUUGUGCGGGUCGGGAUCCGGGUCGUUUACUGUGAAAAAAUUAGAGUGUUUAAAGCAGGCGUAAGCCGUGAAUACAUUAGCAUGGAAUAAUAAGAUAGGACUUUGGUGCUAUUUUGUUGGUUUGCACACCGAGGUAAUGAUUAACAGGAACGGUUGGGGGUAUUGCUAUUCACAUGUCAGAGGUGAAAUUCUUGGAUUUUGGGAAGAGCAACAUCGGCGAAAGCAUUUACCAAGGAUGUUUUCA
rnacentral:rRNA from 1 species